rfam:Echinostoma caproni strain Egypt genome assembly, scaffold: ECPE_scaffold0006129
GCACUGCUGAUGAGUCUCAAACAGGAUGAAACAGCUGUCCAGCGC